rnacentral:rRNA from 1 species
UAGUGGCGACGGGUGAGUAACGCGUGAGAACCUGCCUUUCAGUGGGGGACAACAGUUGGAAACGACUGCUAAUACCGCAUAAUGUUAUUUAGGGGCAUCCCUGAAUAACCAAAGCUUUAUGUGCUGAAAGAUGGUCUCGCGUCUGAUUAGCUAGAUGGCGGGGUAACGGCCCACCAUGGCGACGAUCAGUAGCCGGUCUGAGAGGAUGAACGGCCACAUUGGGACUGAGAUACGGCCCAGACUCCUACGGGAGGCAGCAGUGGGGAAUAUUGGGCAAUGGGGGAAACCCUGACCCAGCAACGCCGCGUGAAGGAAGAAGGCCUUCGGGUUGUAAACUUCUUUUAGUAGGGACGAAUACGUGACGGUACCUACAGAAAAAGCAACGGCUAACUACGUGCCAGCAGCCGCGGUAAUACGUAGGUUGCAAGCGUUGUCCGGAUUUACUGGGUGUAAAGGGCGUGUAGGCGGAGAUGCAAGUCAGGAGUGAAAUCCCGGGGCUCAACCCCGGAACUGCUUUUGAAACUGCAUCCCUUGAGUGUCGGAGAGGCAAGCGGAAUUCCUAGUGUAGCGGUGAAAUGCGUAGAUAUUAGGAGGAACACCAGUGGCGAAGGCGGCUUGCUGGACGAUAACUGACGCUGAGGCGCGAAAGCGUGGGGAGCAAACAGGAUUAGAUACCCUGGUAGUCCACGCUGUAAACGAU